rnacentral:lncRNA from 1 species
CGGCGCGGCAUCGUGCAGGAAUCGCGCCGGCAGGCGCAGCCCCCACAGAUCCGGCACGGCGGCGACGGCGUGCUCCUCGACGCCGCACUGGUGCGCCCACAUGCAAAAGACGCCGUCGUGAGGCGACAGUCGGGUGGCGGGUCCGCCGCGCGCCAGGUAAUACCGGCCGCCGGUCUUCAUGUCGGUGCUCCAUCCGACGAGGGUCACCACGGCGGCGCCCAGACGACCGGGCGACGUUACAUGAUGGGGCUGGGCGUCGGCGCGGUGCGCGUAGAUGCCACCGAUCCAACUCGCCGCGUAGGCCUCGGGCCACGCCAGAUCCUCGUGGACGUCGAUGGCCGUGGUGACCGGUCCCCGAAGGUAGAUCUCGGCGCACACGGCGUCGCCGAGACGGUCGCGCCGUCCGACGCCGUCGUUGCCAUCGUCGGGCGGCGCCGGUCUAUAGUAGACGAUCGACUUAACGCGCCGGGCGGCCUCGGGCGGCUGUCCGGGUUCGCGCGCACCCCACACGUACUGGUCGCGGUGGAGGGCGACGAGGCUGGGCGAGCGGGCGUCGCCGCGCGGCUCGGUCUCGUCGGGAUGGGGUGCCACGAGAUCGACGGCCACGGCGCCGCGCGACACGAUGGCCACGCGGUCGGCUAGGGCGCGCGCGCACUCGUCGCGCGCCGACACGGAACCCUUGGGCUGCGGCGACAGCAACCGGCGCCACUUGCGGCGCCCGUCAAAGUGGUCGGGGAGGACGAGACCGCGCUCGGCCAAGGUGGCCGCUGUGUCGACCCUCGCCAGCGACGCGUAUUCGGCCGCCGCCAUCGGCGUCUCGUGGUACAGCGAGACGUCGUGCCACCACCCAUCCAUUUUUUUCCUUGUUUCUUCUGUUCUCUCUCUCUCUCUCUCUCUCUCUUGUUGUCUCGUCUUUUGGCUUUUAUGGACCCUGUCCUGUUGUCUAGAGCAGGGAGGUCUCUCUGGUGGUUUGGGUUCUCUUUCUUUUUCCUUGUCCUAGGACAAAAUGCUUUGGCGCGCGGCGGCCGACGCUGCCGCUCCAGGCAAGGCCCAAAAGUGCGAGAUAGAGACCAUAAAGGCCAAGAAAAGAGAAAAGAAAAAGGGGUUCGGCGGCGCCACACCGAGCGGCCGGCCGACUUUAGCCGCUACGCACGCCACAAUCUGAAUUUGCAUACCGUAAUAAAAAAACAAAAUGAAAUGAAAUGAAAAAGAACACCUAAACCCAGACGCAUGGACGACCCGCGCGAAUGGACCCUGGCCUGUGCGUGCGCACUCAUUUGUGACCACAUUCGGCUGGUCUCGCUGGAAAAAAA